AAUAUAUAUAGAGAUAGGUUAUUAAUUUAUGAUUUUAAUGGGACUAUAUAUUUACAUGGAAGUUUUAAAAAUAUUAUUAUCUUAUUAUUUUAUCGAUUUGUGUCAUAUUUUACACUGGUCCAAGUUGGGACCGACAAAAUUUAUUAAUUUAUAGAGACUAUUAAUUUAUCGAGUAUUAAUUUAUAGAGGUUAUACGGUACUUUUAAAUAUUUUGGAUAAAGAAGUAUUUAGAUAAUUUCAAUUUUUGGAUAAUUUGAUUUAUAAGUAGUAUUUAGAUAUCAAUAUACAAUACUAAAAGCUAAAUAUAAUCAACAGAGAAGCUAUCCACGUUGGACUAAAUAAUCAACCAAUAGAAAACUUGCUUUUUGCCACUUCACAUCUUUUUUUUUUGUCGAGAUGAGCUUUUAAAAUUGUCUGUGGCCCAUUUGAAAUCGUUUUGCUAUCUUCUUCGAUGGUCUCCGACGAUUCCCUUCCACAGCCAUGGUUUCCACUCUCUCCAAAUUUCUGACUUUGACCUAUUAUGAUGCUUGCGUCUCUCAAUCUGCCCUUGCGACUGAUUCUGCCGCUGUGACUCUAACUCUGUCGCUUCGCCUCCGCCGCUGCUUCUCCGACUACUCCGCUGUGCGUAUACUCCUUUGCCCGCGGCUCCAGAUCUCCUCAUGUUCUUCACUAUCCUAUGCGACUUCAGAUCUCUUUCCCUUUUCCACAACUAGGUUUAGAUGGCUCUUAUACUCGAGGUAAACUCAACUCUAAGUCGGCAUGAGAACAUCUUAUGUUAUUAGGUUUAGUAACCUUUCUGCUCCACUUUCUCAGGCUUCUACAACACUUUCAUUCAGAAUAUAUCACCUAUAUGGAGUUCUAGCCACAUCUCAUCGUUUAGGAAUUGUCAUUGAUACUGACCUGGGUAAACUUCGUUCGGCUCUCCGAGAAAUUGUGAAUCCAUAUGAGAAUGCAAUCUUUGUUAUUGGCAAAACGUUGGCUCCUUCCAAUGAAGACAACUUCAUCUCCUGUUUCGGCUUUGUCGACUGUGAGUUUGUUUCCCAAAACAAUUUCAUCUUCAAUUUUGACUCACUGUGUUUUUUUUUCAUCAUUAUUCAGCUACUACCCAUGGCGACGAAGUGUUCAGUUUGCACAGUGACAAUUCUCCAAGCCAUGGCUUUGAAGAUGUCUUACCAUGUUACAGAGGAUUCACACCUAACUUUCCUUUAUCAGGGCCAAUAUCGUAUGAACUGCUCAUCGAUGCUGCUGUCGACAUUGUUGAACAGAGCAACCGCCAGUUUCAUGUUCUGGUGAUUGGCGCCGAUGGGCAUGGACUGAGAUGUUUCGAUAUGGCCUAGGGGGAACUCAGACAACAAGAGAAAGCAACUAUUUCUUAACGUAAGCUCAUAUGCCGAUUGUUUUAGUAAGUGUUGGAGACGGGCCAUGGGCAGACAUGAGGAAGAUGGGUGACCUUAUCCCUAAGCGUGUCGAUCUUUCAGGUAUCAUCUCAUCUCCAAUUUCAGUUCCAUUUGUAUCCUUUUUUGAUCUUGAUCUGCUCUCUGCAAAGUUUCUGAAUUUCACAGAGAUCAUGAGAGAGGGACCAUCAGAGUUAGCCAAAGAAAGGGAAUUUUCUCUUACUGAUCUAAUUUGUGAUUCAGAUGAAGAAUGGAUCCGAGGAGGGUAAAGAUGUUUUCAUCAUUCACUUCCAACUAAAAAAUUAUUAACAGUUCAAUGAACACUUUCUGUUUUAUGUUGCAGGGCAGAUGAGGAUGUACGCAUUUUCUGUAUUUUUGUGUUUAACACACUAAAGAAUUUAGAAGCAUAAAUUAUGUGUAAGACUUUGUGGACUUCCUACGAGAACAAAAAUUAUUAACUUCUAUUGUUGUCAAGAAAUAUGAUAUUAUCAGUUAUUUAAUAAUGAUCAUUUUUUGAGACGGUGCUAACUUUCUGUGGAGUGAAAUUAAAAACUCAGUGGACUGCCUUGGAUUGAAUGCUUAUUGAGGGGAUUAAUAUUUGUUUCUAAUGAAUCGAUAGUCUCUGGAGCACAUGAAUUUUCUAAGCAUAGUGAUGGAGUUGGGAAUGAGCUGUAGCACCCGGUGUCUCAGUAUCUGCGAGAUAUCAGCAUGCAGCGGUAUGAAAACUUCUUCUUCUUUGGUUCUCUUAUCUCCGUCAGAAUAGUUAAAUUGUUUGAUGGAUUAUUUAGUUCUUUGUAAAUAGAAAACUUCAUGUGUCCGGCGACAAGAAGCAAUAUAAAUUUGACAGCUGAUGUUUGACAAAAGAUGGCAUCACAACAACAUAAUUACAAAUUGUUGAUACUUUAGGGUGUUACUUGAUGACCUAUUAGUGGCUGAGGAUCUUGCCUCUGUAGAGACAACCUAUGAUGCUUCUCAUGCUGUUCGUUAUGAAGACGCUUUGUCCUGAACCUUUCAGAAACUUAAGAAACACAGGCAGGUGAAAUUUUGAUAGGUGUUGCAGUACCGUGAGGAUCCUGUCAAAGCUUUCGCCAUGCGAAACCAAUGGUCAUGAAAGUGGCAGUUGAAGUCGUCUUCAAGCUGGGUCUGUUUCCGCAGACACAGCAUCAGGACAGUUGAGCGGAAUCAUUUGUGAAUCCCACACUGGCAAAGCUUUUUACAAGACUUAUUAUAACUUGUGAUGUCUUAACUCUUGAAGAGCCGUCAUGCUUUGACCACGAACAUAUGUUUUUUCAUUGGGGUGUUCACACUACGUCUUAAUGUAUACUCCAUAAGUUCCUAAAACAAUUUAGUUCGAACCUAAUUUUUGAUUAUACGAAACAAAAAUAAUGAUAUUUUAAAAAGCUAUUUGUUGUCGUGCUACGUUGAAUUAGUAACAGUUGCUGCUCAAACAGCUAAUCAAGACAAUCUUUUUGAUAUUUUUGAUUGUCUUUUGUCAGACUCUAAAAUCUAUGAAAUAUUAUUAAAUUAUAUAUCAAUCACAUGUUAGUGUUUUCCUAUAUAAAAAUUGUCAAAAAGAAUAGUUGGUGGAUGUUGACAAAAAAAAAAAAAAAGAAUAGUUGGUGGAUGAUUUGAUGAACGUCCACAUUUUAUUCAGGGUAAAUGAACACCAUCUCAAUAACAAAACUUUUAAUAUAAACCCAGUGUAAGCAAUCAUCUUUCAGCGACAUAUGUAUGGCCUUAAUGAUGUCUCUGCGCAACUGCAAACUAGAUUCUUCAGUGACAUGAACUUGUGGAAUGUUGUGUUUUUGAUGAUAUACAUGUAUGGUAUUAUAGAACCCUGGGUUUUAAAAAGCGUGCCUUAGGGUUGCUAAGGCUUAUUAGAAUCUAUAUCUCUCUUUCUGGGAGGAACACAGAGCUUGAUGUAAUCAUAACACGAGAACUCGAGAAGGUUUACCAUGCUUAAGUUGUUUGUUGAACUAAUUGUAUUUUAUUUUCGAUCUGAUUUCUACUAUGUUUGUUUGUUCAGUAUUUGCAAGUUGUUGGAUUGUACGAGGAUAAGGAGGAAACAUGUAGAAGGAAGGGAUUCUGGGGAGUCUUAAUCAGUUUAUACUACUACUUUGUAAUAUAAGAAAUUGUGCUUAUAGAUAUUUCGUUUAUGGUUAUGAUAAGGAUUGAAUGAUCAGUUGCUUCAUGAGACAAUGCAGAGCAGCAGAGAUAUUUACUUCUGGCUAGGGGUAACCAUAAAAAUAUAUAGAAGAUUAACUUUGUUC